rnacentral:lncRNA from 1 species
UCGCUCUUUUUGUGGCACAAAAUUGGGUUCCCAAUGUUUGAUAGAAAGAUAAUGCCCGUUAAUAAAUCAGGGACCAUUUUGUAGAACUUGAGAUACACUACUUGAUUGAGUAAACUUUGCAAUAAAAAACCCCAAUCCAAGGUCAAUCAAGGGAAAAACCUCCGGAAGCUUCCAUAAAGAUAUCAAUUUUUCACGGAGAUAUUGGUGGGUUACCUUUGCAUCCAACAGUUUGAUAACGAGGGAAUGCUUCCAUGGAGAACAUAGUUUAGCCGUGUCCUCCUUAGUAAGCUGUAUAACUUUAAUUCCAUUGGAUACACCCACAGCUUCGUCGUCAACGCCGUUGCGAAUUUGGUCCUUCGGGCAGUCAAAGGGGUGGAUUUAGUUGGUUGUAUAAAAAAAUAUAUAUGGAUCUAUAUACAUUUUUGAUACAUAGUUAUGCAUCAUAUAUAUAUAUAUAUGUGUGUAGAGAGAGAGAUACAAUAUCGAUACACAUUUAUACACUAUUUAUACAAUAUCAAUAAAUGCUUAUACACCAUUUAUACAAUAUUGUUACAAAUUUAUACCUUAUUUAUAAAAUAUUGAUACAUGUUUAUACAUUAUUUAUACAAUAUUAAUACAUUACAUAUACACUACAUAGCUAUUUAUGCAAUAUUGAUAUAUUACAUAUAUACUACAUAACUAUUUGUACAUCAAAUAUACAUGUUUAUAUCGAUACACUAUACAUACAUUACAUAACUAUUUGUACAUCAUAUAUACAUGUUUAUACACUAUUUUAUAUAAUAUUGAUACGUGAAAAAAGUUGUACGAAA